rnacentral:rRNA from 1 species
CACGUAGGGUGCGAGCGUUGUCCGGAAUUAUUGGGCGUAAAGAGCUCGUAGGCGGUGUGUCGCGUCGGCCGUGAAAACCUGCAGCUCAACUGUGGGCUUGCGGUCGAUACGGGCAGGCUAGAGUUCGGUAGGGGAGACUGGAAUUCCUGGUGUAGCGGUGAAAUGCGCAGAUAUCAGGAGGAACACCGGUGGCGAAGGCGGAUCUCUGGGCCUUACCUGACGCUGAGACGCGAAAGCUAGGGGAGCGAACAGG